GAUGAACGCUGGCGGCGUGCUUAACACAUGCAAGUCGAACGGUGAACACGGAGCUUGCUCUGUGGGAUCAGUGGCGAACGGGUGAGUAACACGUGAGCAACCUGCCCCUGACUCUGGGAUAAGCGCUGGAAACGGCGUCUAAUACUGGAUAUGUGACGUGACCGCAUGGUCUGCGUUUGGAAAGAUUUUUCGGUUGGGGAUGGGCUCGCGGCCUAUCAGCUUGUUGGUGAGGUAAUGGCUCACCAAGGCGUCGACGGGUAGCCGGCCUGAGAGGGUGACCGGCCACACUGGGACUGAGGCACGGCCCAGACUCCUACGGGAGGCAGCAGUGGGGAAUAUUGCACAAUGGGCGGAAGCCUGAUGCAGCAACGCCGCGUGAGGGAUGACGGCCUUCGGGUUGUAAACCUCUUGUAGCAGGGAAGAAGCGAAAGUGACGGUACCUGCAGAAAAAGCGCCGGCUAACUACGUG
rnacentral:rRNA from 1 species